GUUACUACCUCGACGCUCAGCAAGUCAGAAGCUUCUGAUUGCAUCUUGCAAUUUCACAAGAUUGGGCAGAUCUUUAUAUUUAUCCUUCUCCUCAAAAUGAAGGUGAAAUUAUGAGAGUAGCUACUUGUGAAGCAUGUAGGAGGAUUCGAAUUGAGAGUUGUAGAGGAAAUAUGAGAGAUACGUUUCAACUCAAACUCGUUGUGACAAUGGCUCUAGUAAUUUUGCAGCUAGCUUUGGUGACUGCUGCUCCUAAUAAUUUAUAUACUCCUCCUGCUCUUGGAAGGUGAUAAUAUCUCCUUACUACGAUACACCGUGAUUAUCCUUGAAAUUAUGAUUCAAUGAAAGAAUGAUGUUGUUUCAAGACUAUUAAAACAGUUUGUGCAUAAUAAA